CGCCCCUUCCCCCGGAUGCGGGCCGGGAUGGCGCUGCCCACCCCGCGCUACGAGCACCUGGGCCCCGGGGGGCCCUUUCGGGACGUGUACGAGCCGGCCGAGGACACCUUCCUGCUGCUCGAUGCGCUGGAGCGGGACGCGGGCAGCCUGCGGGAGGCUCGAGUCGAGAUCUGCCUUGAAAUAGGAUCUGGAUCUGGUGUGGUUUCAACAUUUCUGGCUUCUUCCAUCCUUGGACCCAGUGCACUCUACAUAUGCACAGAUAUCAACCCCAUGGCAGCUUACUGUACCCAGGAGACAGCUCUGCUUAAUAAUGUCCACCUGCAGCCUGUCAUCACUGACUUGGUCAAAGGAUUAUCCCCGAGAUUAAAUGGGAAGGUUGAUCUACUGCUGUUUAACCCACCAUAUGUGGUAACACCUUCUGAAGAGGUGAAAAGCUGUGGAAUAGAGGCAUCCUGGGCUGGGGGCACACAGGGCAGAGAAGUAAUGGAUAGAGUUUUCCCACUAGUACCAGACCUGCUUUCACCAGGAGGAUUAUUCUACUUGGUCACAAUUAAAGAAAACAAUCCAGAUGAAAUUUUGGAAACAAUGAAGAAAAGUGGCUUAAAAGGCACACAAGUACUUUCCAGGCAAGCAGGACAAGAGAUGCUGACAAUCCUCAGAUUCAGGAAAUCUUGAUAACUUCUCUUUACCUGCCAGGUAGUAGGCAUGAAGAAAAUGAAAAAAACUCUGAACACAGAGUUUUCAGCUGGUAAACACUGAAGUGAAUGCAAUCUGCCCUUUGCUGAUGGCAGGCACUUACUCAUUACAAGCAAAACAUCAAGAAAGAAAUGAACCCAAAAAGUGAACUAGGGAACAAAAUAUCAAUGGGUUCAUGAUGAUCUAAUAUCCUCUGACAAUACCAGUGCCACACACCAGAGAGUCUGACUUCUACAAGCCAUGCACACGUAUCACUUUUAAUUUGUAACCUUCAGUUGUCAUUGGUCAGAACCAGGAUCAUUUUACACCAUCAGCAUUCACAACAAACUGCAAGCAGCAGUGUUAAGAUAUCCUUCUGUUGGCUUAUAAAGUUCUUUCCUCUCCCAGGAUCAGCGUUCUCAGCAUGGAUCACUUUGGCCUUGAUUAAGGACCAGAGUCUUCCACGUCCCUGUGACCUUCAGAGAAGAAGAAAGAGCCUGGUUAAAAUACAGAGGUGCUCAGAGUUCAGCACAAAAGCAUUUGGAGGAAGUUUGGAUCUGCACAGAUGGAAAUACAGUGGCACUUUAUACAAUGCAAAAUGUGAAGGCAGAGCUAGGAGUUGUUUCACUUGUUCUCACAUAGCUGUCAGAUACUUUUAAUACUCAGGGUACUGAACUUCUCAUCUCUUCCAGCAUGUGAGGAUGUUCCAGCUGCAGAUAAGGAGGAUUCUCCAAUUCUUCAGUCCCUUGUAAUGAGCACAACAGUUCUGCAGCUCAUUCAACACCUUCCCCAAGCUUCAGAGAUGGCUUCUCAAGGAAAGAUGGAAAAUUUUAUUUUAGUAACUGAAACCACAGAGCGAGACACAGCGUUCUGAGAGUGGGCUCCAGGAAGUCUGCUGAAAAUUACCUUUUAACACUGCAUGAAGGAGGUUUUAGUGCCUUAAAGGAGCAGCAGUGUCCCAGUGUCCCAUCAGCUCCGUGCCUGUCACUGGUGAUCACAGAGCUCAGGAUUUCCUGCUGCACCAGCCAAGGUAGCCCCUGUAGUUUUACUCCUCUAAUUCCCUGUUAGAGGAGGGGUCAGCUCUUUCAUUUUGAUGCAAGUCCUUCACAACAUGAGAUUCUUUGCAUCCCCCCACUUUUCCCUCAGCAGUUUCAGUGUCAGAGAAGCCCUUCCUGAAAAGAUCUGAGGCCUUGGGUAGCUGCAAGAUCCUGUACCUACAAAUGGUUUACUGCAGUGUCAAAAUGCACAACAAUUACUCCACCUGGUAUUCACUUGGAGCAGAAGGUAUCAUUAGGGAAUUUCUGUCACCAUGAAGAAAAUCAGGAAUUGACAGGAAGCAAGAGGUUUUGUACAACCAGUCCUGAAACAGAAUUCAGUGUCAUUGCACAGGUAAAUCAAACAAAUGCUUCAAUAUCUGAUGUCACCUUAGGCUACAGCAGCAGCAGCUCCUUCAAUUUUCCUGUCCCCAUCCAUUUCUUGUGUCUUAUAUUACACCACUCUGUGUGAACCACCACGUUCUUAAUCCACUUGACAGGUAAAAUAAGAGAUUAUGCAUAAAUUCUAUAAAAAAGGAAUACCUUUAUUUUUUUUUAAAGAGACCGUUUUUUCAUUACCAAGCGAAAACUUUACAAUGUAAAGUAUUUCUCUUCAGUAUUGUUUUAAUAUAAAAACUUAAAUCACUUACUCUGGUCUUACUGUUCCUACAGGGAGUCUUGUGGCACUGCAGGACCCAGGUAUCUUCAGCCUCACUCUAGUAUCUAAUCAUAAGUUCAUGACUUAUUUUUUUAAAUAAAACCAUUUCUGUGGCCACUCACCAUCAACAAAACAUCCCUACCACCAAACAAAAAUAAAGCAUCUUCAUCAGACCAAAAGAGACUAAACAGCACUAUUACAGUGAGAAACUUUGUUAAAAUAAAAAUAUUUUGAAAGUUAGACACGACUUUAAAAUUGUACAAAGACAACAAGCACUCAAAUUACACAGAGUAAGUAGCAGUGAGUACAAUGUGAAUGCAACAACAGUGAGUCUUGCCUCUUUUUAUAUGCAAUAUAAGUAGAGAUUCCUUGCCAAACUUCCAGCUUUUUUUUUUUCCUUUUUCCUGAAAAGCAGCUCAUUGUGCUGCAAAACCUAACAGGGAGCAUCUCACUCUUCAGUUCAACAGAAUUGCUAAAAGGGGCUCUGGCUGAAACCAGUCUUUCUAUCAUGAGAAUAUCCCAUACAGUGCAGAACAAGUUUCUUUCUCCACUGAAAAUCAAUUCCCUUUUAUUAAGCUGAAUGUUUCACCUUCCCAUGGGACCUGUCAAAUUACAGGCUUCAAAAUGAUUAAAAAUUCUGAAGCUUGCUCCUGUUUUUUCAAGAACAUGCUAGCUGAUACUGUCAUGGUGUGUCCAUGUAAGGAGUCACACAACAGAGAAUGGUCGUGUUUGUAUUUUACUCUAUGCAAGUGUUGUUUCAGGAAAAACACUUGGGACUCAUUUUAGAUAAUUUGGCUCAAUUAGUUUAAGUAUUGGUCAGAGAAGAAAAUAUUUAUUUAAUUUUUUUCUAUUACAUUUAGAGCUCAAAUAUAUCCCUAAAACCACAUGGCAGGAAGUAUCCCUUAGAGAUUGUCCCUAGGUUUGGCUGUGAAGUGAAAAGCUGACACUGUUACCAUCCUCCCUUUACUUCUGAGAGUUUUCUUCUUUACAGGAAAUACAUCUUGCACAAGAAAUUAAUCCCCCAUGGUGACUGUUCAAACAGCUCCAUUACAGCCUCAAAACUAGGAUUCAGUUAUUCCUUAGGUUUAGAUAGAUGAGAAAACUUCUGCUGUAAAUCUUCCCUGAGAUCAACAGCAAUUAAAAGAAAGUUAUGUUUUAGCCAACUGCAGCCAUACUGGCAAAACUGAAUGGUGAAAAGAACUUUCAGAACUGGUGUUCUGAAUUUGAGUGCUUGCAGGAGUCUGUUUCAUGACAGAAUGCAAUCACUUACUCAUAUUUUCUCUAAAAAUGCCUUGAUGAUUAGGGUUAUGUUCAUGAUUUUAAACUUACUUGUUCUUUCUAGAUUACCUGGAAGUGCUUUAUUUUUAAUAGCUUUACCCAUUAUUAAUGACUGUUGCAAUGGAUCAAUGUCCUGAUUUUCAGAAAAGCUUCAAAAGUAUUGUGGCUUUAUUUUUAAAUGAAAAUAGCCUAUUAUUAAGACAGCAGUGUCCUGCAAAUUGAGUCCAUGACACUUGCCAAUUGCUUCAUUUUUAUGUAAAACUGUAAAUUUGAAAGCAACUUGAUUUUUUUUCUUCUUUUUUUUUUCAGUUAUGCAGGAGCCUGUUUAAUGUUCCCAUGAAGCAUUUCAAAAUGUCUGUCAGUCUGUCAGUCAAGGGAAGAACACAGCAUCUAAUCUUAUAUAAAAUUCUUAUGGGGUGCAGCCUGAAAAAUCCCAUGUUAGCAAAACUGAGUGAACCAGCCCAAAUUCCUUUUGCCCAUCCCACUUCUCUAGCUGCUUUUCUUUUCUCAAUAUCCCAUUCUUCUCCAUUUGCUUCAAUUCUAAGAUAGCAUUGCUGAGGUUUCAAUGAAGAUUAAAAAUUAAAGCAAGGAUGUUGUUUCAGUGUAAGGAAACAGCAGCUCUGAGAAAAUGCUUUCAGUUCUUGUCAGGACAGAAAAGGCUGUUGGCAGUUUACCUUUCACUUGGCUUCAGAAGAUUUAUUAAACAGUUCUAGCCCAAGGCAGUUAAGGAUUUUAAGCUAAACCCAAGCUUGUGCAAUAAAAAAUUAUAUUUAGGAAGGCAUAUCUUGA